UUUAACCGCUGUCAGUGCAAAUGGCCCUUUAGAUAAGAGAAAGACAAGAGAGGGCCUCCGGAGAGCUCCACUGCCUUGCAGGAUCCUACUCCGUCCUAGCUUUUAUUAGUCUUGGAACGGACGACCUGUUGCAUAUUCUGAAGGGUGCUUUUAACCUCCCGCCCGUGAGGUCAUGAUCGGUCUCCAGAGCGACUUCUUUUGGAAGAAAGGAUCAGAUCAAUUAACCACAGGCGGAUGAUCUGCCCGGCACACACCACAGGCGUUGUGUUUUCAGGAAGACGUGUCAAGCUAAAGGCGCUGUGUUUGGACUCCAUUCUGACGGCACCCAUUCACUGCAGAAGACCCAUUGGUGAACGACUAAAUCUCUCUCAAAACCCGAUGUGAUGAAGAAACAAACUAGAUUCUAGAUUUUUGAUGGCCUGAUGGUGAGUACAUUUUCAGC